GACUCCUUAGCUCAGUCUGUUGAGCAGUGUGCUUCUCAAGCCAGUGGUUGUCGGUUUGAGUCCCACAGGGCUCU